rnacentral:rRNA from 1 species
CUCAGGACGAACGCUGGCGGCAUGCCUAAUACAUGCAAGUCGAACGCGACCAGCCGGUGCUUGCACUGGCGAAGUCGAGUGGCGAACGGGUGAGUAACACGUGAGAAACCUACCCUGGAGUGGGGAAUAACUCGAAGAAAUUCGAGCUAAUACCGCAUACCUUCUUACCGUCGAAUGGUGGUUUGAAGAAAGAUUUAUCGCUCUGGGAGGGUCUCGCGGCCUAUCAGCUAGUUGGUGAGGUAAACGGCUCACCAAGGGCAUCGACGGGUAGCUGGUCUGAGAGGACGAUCAGCCACACUGGAACUGAGACACGGUCCAGACUCCUACGGGAGGCAGCAGUAGGGAAUCUUGCGCAAUGGGCGAAAGCCUGACGCAGCAAUGCCGCGUGCGGGACGAAGGCCCUAGGGUCGUAAACCGCUUUCAGUAGGGACGAAAAUGACGGUACCUGCAGAAGAAGCUCCGGCCAACUACGUG